rnacentral:rRNA from 1 species
UACGUAGGGGGCAAGCGUUGUCCGGAAUCAUUGGGCGUAAAGAGCGCGUAGGCGGUCCGAUAAGUCGGUUGUGAAAACUGGGGGCUCAACCCUCAGAGGCCGACCGAUACUGUCGGGCUAGAGUCCGGAAGAGGCGAGUGGAAUUCCUGGUGUAGCGGUGAAAUGCGCAGAUAUCAGGAGGAACACCGAUAGCGAAGGCAGCUCGCUGGGACGGUACUGACGCUGAGGCGCGAAAGCGUGGGGAGCGAACAGG